rnacentral:rRNA from 1 species
GUGGGGAAUUUUGGACAAUGGGCGCAAGCCUGAUCCAGCCAUUCCGCGUGCAGGAUGAAGGCCUUCGGGUUGUAAACUGCUUUUGUACGGAACGAAAAGGUUCUCUCUAAUACAGGGGGCUGAUGACGGUACCGUAAGAAUAAGCACCGGCUAACUACGUGCCAGCAGCCGCGGUAAUACGUAGGGUGCAAGCGUUAAUCGGAAUUACUGGGCUUAAAGCGUGCGCAGGCGGUGAUGUAAGACAGAUGUGAAAUCCCCGGGCUCAACAUGGGAACUGCAUUUGUGACUGCAUUGCUGGAGUGCGGCAGAGGGGGAUGGAAUUCCGCGUGUAGCAGUGAAAUGCGUAGAUAUGCGGAGGAACACCGAUGGCGAAGGCAAUCCCCUGGGCCUGCACUGACGCUCAUGCACGAAAGCGUGGGGAGCAAACAGGAUUAGAAACCCGUGUAGUCC